rnacentral:rRNA from 1 species
GUAGUCAUAUGCUUGUCUCAAAGAUUAAGCCAUGCAUGUCUAAGUAUAAGCAAUUAUACCGCGAAACUGCGAAUGGCUCAUUAAAUCAGUUAUCGUUUAUUUGAUAGUACCUUACUACAUGGAUAACCGUGGUAAUUCUAGAGCUAAUACAUGCUAAAAAUCCCGACUUCGGAAGGGAUGUAUUUAUUAGAUUAAAAACCAAUGCCCUUCGGGGCUCUCUGGUGAUUCAUAAUAACUUCUCGAAUCGCACGGCCUUGCGCCGGCGAUGGUUCAUUCAAAUUUCUGCCCUAUCAACUUUCGACGGCUGGGUCUUGGCCAGCCGUGGUGACAACGGGUAACGGAGGGUUAGGGCUCGACCCCGGAGAAGGAGCCUGAGAAACGGCUACUACAUCCAAGGAAGGCAGCAGGCGCGCAAAUUACCCAAUCCCGACACGGGGAGGUAGUGACAAUAAAUACUGAUACAGGGCUCUUUCGGGUCUUGUAAUUGGAAUGAGUACAAUUUAAAUCCCUUAACGAGGAACAAUUGGGGGGCAAGUCUGGUGCCAGCAGCC